AUGCUAGCUUCAGAAGCACAUAUACUAAAAUUGGAAUGAUACAGAGAAGAUUAGCAUGGCCCCUGUGCAAGGAUGACACAUUAACUCACGAGCAAAUCUAUAUUUUG